GAAAUGAGUUCAUUGAUGAUGCACUGCUUGAUUCACGUUCCAGAACUAAUGAAUGUUAAAGGGAUUGGUAGAUUUGAAAACAUGUGUAGGUCGAGUAUAAGAGACGGAUUUAUUGAUAACAAGGCAUGGCUAACGUUUUUGAGUAGAAUUCAAUCAUAUCGCAUCUUAGAACUACCAACUUGGACAUUGAUUUUAUUUGCUCUACCUGAUGCUUUGGUUCUGAGUCCCCGCCUUCAAACCUCUCCUUCAACUACGUCUUCUUAUUUGCUUGAGGGCAAGCAAGGACUAAGUUUGGGGGAGUUGAUAUGUCUAUAGUUUGCAUGUUUUCAGUGUCCAUUCAUCAUCGUUUUGAGUCCAGUUUCGUAUCAUUCAUCACUGUUUUAUAUCAUUUCUCAUCAUUCUUGCAUACUUUGCAUGAUUAGGAUAGCUUUGCAUAGAUAUUGCAUUUCUGAGUUGUUUUCAGGUGAUUUGGAGCUGUUUGCGAGCAAAUUGGAAGAAACGAGCCAGAAACAGAAGACAUACUCGACCCCCAGGUCGAGUGACUUUGGAGCCAUUCUUCCCACAUACUCGACCCCCAGGUCGAGUGACUUUGGAGCCAUUCUUCCCAUCCACUCGACCACCAGGUCGAGUAACCUCAGCUCAGGCCACUCGAUGACAUUACUCGACCCCCUGGUCGGGUAUCACUUUGCCACACCACCUUACCACACUCGACCAUUCACUCUACCCCGUUACUCGACCCACUGGUCGAGUAUCAUCACUCACUACCAUCACCAUCACUCGACCAGACACUCGAUCACGUCUUCACAGUCUACUCAAUUCCGCACUCAACGAGACAAGCUGAGCAAAAGGAAGAGAAGAGGAGAAGACAAAGUGUUUGGAAGCGGCAUGGACCUCCAUCGGAUCACGAAGCCCAUGUCGGCCCAUUAUCUCUCUAUGGGCCGAGCGAUUAGGUUAUUGGCCCGUCUACUAUCAUUUUAUUUCGUUUUGUAUAAAUAGAUGUCUUAGGGUUCUGUCCUGAGACAUCUAGUGGACAUUGAGUUUUUGCUUCAGUUUUAUUUUCUGUUAUACUUUGCUGCGCUGCUUUUGCUUCUGCAACCUCUAAUUCGAGAUUUUUCCAAGUUAUUCAGAUUCUGCGUUUGAUUUCAUCUGUCAUCUUGUUUUUCUACUCUCUAUCUCUUUACUUAUGCAAUAUUAUCGUUUAUCUGUGUUUAUGUCUUUGAGCAUGUUGUCUGAGUAGUGACUUAGAAUUCUUAGGGAUGGGAUAGAGUAGUUGUGGAAUCCGUAGUAUGUAGAAUGGUUAAGCUUUAGAAUUGAUUGAAUCCCUUUAGGACUAGUUGCGUUUACUGCUUAUUUCUUUCUGAUCAACUAGAAUUCGAUCCCAAGCUUUCCCGCACCCAGAAGGUGUUCGAUGGAAUGCUUGAUCCACUAGUUCCUGAGAUAUGCGUCUCUAUCCCACACCCAGUGUCUGGAAACAAUGCAUGGACAUGAUAAUUGCCAAUUUAGUUCAGGUUCUAAUAGAUAGGAAAUGUCAUCAGAUGAGCGAGUUUCGAAUUAAAGGAGUAUAGUCAAGUUGUAAAUUCAAAGCAGGGUGCGGUCUUACUUCAGAGAAACAAU
rnacentral:sRNA from 1 species